rnacentral:rRNA from 1 species
GACGAAGGAUGCAAGCGUUAUCCGGAUUCAUUGGGCUUAAAGGGCGCGUAGGCGGCCUUGUAAGUCAGUGGUGAAAUCUCGCAGCUUAACUGCGAAACUGCCAUUGAUACUGCAGGGCUUGAGUACAGAUGCUGUGGGCGGAAUAUGACAUGUAGUGGUGAAAUACAUAGAGAUGUCAUAGAACACCGAUUGCGAAGGCAGCUCACAAAACUGUAACUGACGCUGAGGCUCGAAAGUGUGGGGAUCAAACAGG